rnacentral:lncRNA from 1 species
CCGUGGCAUAUGGAGGUUCCCAGACCAGGGAUCGAAUCAGAGCUGCAGACGCCUGCCCAUGCCACAACCACAGCAAUGCUGGAUCCGAGCCGCAUCUGCAACCUACACCACAGUUAACAGCAAUGCCAGAUCCUUAACCCACUGGGCAAGGCCAGGGAUGGAACCCUCAUCUUCGUGGAUGAUAGUCGGGCUCAUUAACCAAUGAGCCAUGACGGGUACACCCCCAAAAUUUUUUCAUAUGCAAAGAUGCAAAGGAUAUGAACAGGCAAUUCACAAAGAAAUACACAUGUCAAUAACUCUACUAAAAGUUGCUUAACUUAGUAGAGUUAUUAAAAAUAGAAAAUGCAGAUCAAACUGAAAAAUAUUUUUUCAAAAUACCAUUUUUUAAUCUAUCGGAUUGGUAAAUUAAAAUACUUAAUAUCUACUGCUGAUGAAGCUCUAGGCAAACAAGAACUCAUAUAUUUUUGGUGGGAGUGUAAAUUACUAGUCUUUCUUUUUUCUACCCUCUAAUUCGGCAAGAACACUUCUAGAAAUUUAUCCUCCAGAAGCACAAACUGCAGCAUUUUUUAUAAUAGCAAAAAAAACCCAAUUUUAACUCUUGAGUUUUCACCUGCAUCACUAGACAAGAACUUCUCAAAUUCUCCUUGACUGGGGACAAUAUUGGUCUCAGACUCCAGGAUAAGGCUGGGAAUUUAUUGAUUCCAACUGGUGCCAUCUACCAAAUACAAAAAGCAAUAGCUGGAGUUCCCGUCGUGGCGCAUGGUUAACGAAUCCGACUAGGAACCAUGAGGUUGCAGGUUCAAUCCCUGGCCUUGCUCAGUGGGUUAAGGAUCCAGCGUUGCCGUGAGCUGUGGUGUAGGUCAAGACGCGGCUUGGAUCCCGUGUUGCUGUGGCUCUGGCGUAGGCCAGUGGCUACAGCUCCAAUUCGACCCCUAACCUGGGAACCUCCACAUGCCACAGGAGCGGCCCAAAAAAUGGCAAAAAGACAAAAAACAAAUAUAAAAAUAAAAUAAAUAAAUAAAUAAAUUUUUUCAAAAAACAUUACUUAAGGAGGAUCUAAAGCUUUCAGAUAGUUUUAGUUGGAAUUUAGUCUUUAAAGUUGUUAUCACACAAAAAGUAAUUAAGAACAGGUAAAAUAAAGUCACCUACUGAAGUCAAGCUGAAACAAAAAAGAACAGGUAAAAUAAAAAGUUUACUUCCAAAAAUUUUGUAAAAACAUGAUUUACAUUGUUUUAAAAUUUGUUAUGUAGUGAAUAUAAAUUUGCACUUGAACACGUUAUUUUUGUUUUUAUUACUAUCUGAAGAACCCUUCACAAUAAACAUACCAUACAAAUUUAGCAUUGGUUCAAGAUAACUCGCCAUGUAGUACUUACUUACCACCUACUUACUCAGCACUGUUAAUAGCAGAAUUUGUAAGUAUUAAGAUGCCUGCCCCGCCCCAGCCCUACCCUGUGAGCUUGAGCCCUGAGCCCACAGCAGCGGGGAUGACACGGUUCUUCAACUAGACCUGGUCAGAGAUUUCCUGUUAGAGUUCAGCCCAGCAACCCCACCCAAAAUGGUGCACUAGAGGCCCUGGGCCCUCCACCAAGGCUGCAAGAAUGCCACAGGCAGCCCAGUGUCCAUCUUCAUGUAUGAUGUGAAUCCCAGCAAUGAAAAGCAAACCCAGGUAGUCAAAGCUACCUUCAAGCACCUCAAACCUCUCCAGCAUUCCAACAUUCCGGCCUACAUGGAUGGGCUAGAGACAAAUGCCUCCUUUUAGUCAGAGACUAUGAAUCCGCUGGAAAUGUGCCUCAAGGCACAAGCGGAGGCUGAUGGCCUAAAGGGGCUAGAGCUUUCCUAGAAGCCAGAGAAAACUGUGUAAGCCCUCCACUUCCUGGACAAAGACUGCAGCUGCAUCCACAACAAUGUCUGCGUGGCCACUGUGUUUGUGGACCACAUUGUCAAGUGGAAGCUUGGGGGCCUGGACUACAUAUAUUUGUUAGGGAACUGUUGACUGAAACUGCCCACCAUGGCCAGGCAAUCUUAACUGCUUUCAUGAGUUGUCUCACAACAGGAGGCCCCCAUAAAGAAUAUGGUGCUGCCUGGAAAACUGGGAGGAUUUGGGAAGGGCCAAUAGAUGGGAGGAGACAACCAACCUCCCAGAAUACUUGGCACUGGCAUCCACCUUGGCUGAGAGGUGCACAUGCCACCAGGAAGGACCCUGAGUUAGACCAAGUAUGGGCCAAGCAAGACAACCUGCCAGAACCCAGAAACUAACCCCAUUCCCAUUAAACCUGAGGCUGCAAGCCACACAGCAGAGAGGUUCUCUUGGGUUCCCUUACCUUGCUGCUCUCCAACUGGACGCUCCUUCCCUAUAAAGUCUUUUGCUUUGUCAGCAUGUAUGUCCCCUUGGACGAUUCAUUUCCAAGUGUUAGAUAAGAGCCCACCCAUGGGCCCUGGAAGGGGUCCUCCUUCCUGCAACAUAUUCAGCCCAAAGCAAUGGUGGGGGACCUCCCCACAAGGGGUUCCCUGAGCUAUGACCCCCCAGAGUUGGGUGAUGUCACCAGAAGAACAGUCAGAGAAAAGUGGUCAAGUGACAUGUAGCACUUGGGCUGCCUCAUCUGGGAAGUCUUCAAUGGGCCCCUUUCGUGCAGCUGCCCUUCAUUUGGAAAGAUUCCCAAAUCACUGGAGUCCCAUUACAUUACAGUGAGCUGGUGGAAACCAACCCCAAGGUAUAUCCCAACCCAGCCCACUUCCCAAAGAACUGCCAGGUGCCCAGUGGCUUCAUGAGUUUCAUGGAGACCAACCUCUUCCUGGAAGGGACUCAGAUCAAAGAGCCAGCUGAGAAGCAAAAGUUCUUCCAAGAGCUGAGCAAGAGCCUAGACUUGUUCCCCAAGGAUUUCUGCCGGCACAAGGUGCUGCCCCAGUUGCUGACCACCUUCAAGUUUGACGAUGAGAGGACUGUUGUCCUCAAGCCCCUCUUGAAGGUGGGUAAGUACCUCAAAGCUGAGGUGUAUCAACAGAAGUUCAUCCCUAUAGUGGUCAAGAUGUUCUCAUCAAUCUACAGGGCCAUGCGCAUCCGUCUCUUACAGCAGAUGGAGCAGUUCAUUCAAUACCUGAUGAGCCAACAGUGAACACCCAGAUCUUUCCCCACAUACAUGACUUCCUGGACACCAACCCUGCAUUCAGGAGCACACAGUAAAGUCUAUGCUGCUCUUGGCCCUGAAGCUAAAUGAAGCCAAUCUCAAUGUGGAGCUGAUGAAGCACUUCACAAGGCUACAGGCCAAGGACAAAGAAGGCCCCAUCUGCUGCAACACUACCCUUUGCCUGAGCAAAAUCAGCUCCUAUCUCAGUGCCAUCACCAAACACUUCACCCUUUAGCCAGGCCAUGAAGGACCCAUUUAUACCAUCCCGGAUCGCAGGUGUUUUGGGCUUCACUGACACCUACAACCUCUAUUCGAUGAAGGUUAAAGCACAGAGAAGAUCCUGCCUGUCCCUGGCAGCCUCACUAUGGAUCGUGAGAAAUCUGCACAGGACCAGGUCUUCAAGGCCAUUCAAAGCUUCCUGUCCAGGAGUUCCCAUAGUGGUGUAGCAGAAACAAAUCCAACUAGUAACCAUGAGGUUGUGGGUACAAUCCCUGGCCUCCCUCAGUGGGUUAAGGAUCCUGCAUUGCCGUGAGCUAGGGUUGCAGACUUGGCUUGGAUCUGGCGUUGCUGUGAGCUGUGGUGUAGGCUGGCAGCUGUAGCUCCGAUUAGACCCCUAGCCUGGGAACCUCCAUAUGAGGUGAGUGCAGCCCUAAAAAAAAAAAAAGCUCCUGUCCAAACUGGAGUCUGUUUCAGAGGACCCCACCCAGCUGGCCCAAGUGGAAAAGGAUGUCCAUGCAGACUCCAGCCCUAGAAUGGGAAGUGAAUCAGCCAGCUGGACAGGCUGGGCUGUGGCAGGUCUCCUCACUCACCUUGAAGCUGAUCCAUGCACAUGCACAGCUGCCCCAGCCGAGACCAAUAUCCCCCAGUCACCCAUGCCUGAGGGACUUCCUGCCCCAGCCCCUACCCCUGCAAGACCCACAACCUUAGGUUGUUGGGAGACACUACAGGAGGGCAAGGACACAGAAGAGGACAAUAGUGCUGCCAAGAGAAGGGAUGACAAGACUGGAGCAGCUUGGAGCAGGAGGCCGAAUCUGCGCUGGCCCAGCAGGACAACUGAAGUUCUGGGGGCCAAGCCAGUCAGACUGGGCAGACCAGCAACCAUGGCUACAAAUCCCCAGAAUCAGACUGGAGCAGGUGGGAAGAUGAAGGCUUGUGGAAUCAGGGCUGGCAGGAGCCAAACCCCUGUGGAGACAACCCCUGAGGGCACAUGUGUAACUGGGGUAGACCAGAGCCUAUUGACAAAGGCGACCCCCUUAGCUACCCUAUCAGUACGCUAGGAGGUUGGUGCUCAGCUGAGACUAGACUCUUGGAAUUGAUGACAACUUGGAGCACCUAGAUAUUGAGAGCCAACAGGCGAAGACUGAGCUAGCACGGAAAAAGCGUGAGAACUCUCAGCAAAGAUGGAGGAUAAACGCACUGAGAAAAAGGCAGGUAAGGGCCCCAUGAAGCUGGGAACCAGGAAGGUAGACCGAACCAACAAGUGUGGGGCCUUCCCAGCCAUGCAGAACAGGCCCCAGAGAUUUAUUGCACAAACCACAAGAGCUGGCCAGCCUGACCAGGCACAUCUCAAGUGUACAUAACCAGAACUACAAUAAAUUCUAUUUAAUUUUUAAAAGAAAAGAAAGAAGUAUAAGACAAGGUUCCCAAUGUUAAGAAACUUACUAAUAGGGACAUGAACUGAAGAUAUGAAAAAACUAAGCAACCACAGAUAACAUUAAUGAAGUGUACAGACUGAUACUAUAGGAGUUCAGAGACAAGGAAAACAACAAAGACUGGGUGGAAUCAACAGAAAGACCCACAGAGUCCAACUGUAGGGAAAACACUUUCCUCACCCUGAGCUGACUUUUAAUGAAAAUAAAACUCUUCUGAGCAAUAAAGCAUCAAUUUUAAUCAUCAAUAAAAAUCACCUUACUAGACUACUUCAAUAAGUGAAACAGGUAUGGUCCUUGUCUCAAGUGUUUAUAAUAAAAGGAGAUACAGAACAAAUACCAAUUAAAAGAUUAUAGUUCAUCAUCAUAAUAAUACUUUUUUUUUUCUUUUGUCUUUUUAGGGCUGCACCCACAGCAUGUUGAGGUUCCCAGGCUAGGGGUCUAAUCAGAGCUACAUCUGCCAGCCAACACCACAGCCACAGUAACACAGGAUCUGAGCCGCGUCUGCGACCUACACCACAGCUCAUUGGCAACACCAGAUCCUUAACCCACUGAUUGAGGCCAGGGAUCAAACCCGAAACUUCAUGGUUCCUAGUCGGUUUCAUUUCCACUGCACCACGACUGGAACGCCCAAUAAUAAUUCUUUCUUGAUUUAGGUACUAGAUCAAAAGUAUCAUCAUUAUGUAAAAAUUCAUCAAGCUGUACAUUUAUGGUAUCUAUACUUUUCCAUAUGUAUGUUACACUAUAGUUAAAAGACAAAAAAAAAAAAAAAAAACCAAAAAAAAAA